CGCGCAGGCGGCCUAUCAAGUCAGGCGUGAAAGCCCCGGGCUUAACCUGGGAAUUGCGCUUGGGACUGAUGGGCUUGAGUACGGGAGAGGAGAGUGGAAUUCCCAGUGUAGAGGUGAAAUUCGUAGAUAUUGGGAAGAACACCGGUGGCGAAGGCGGCUCUCUGGACCGUAACUGACGCUGAGGCGCGAAAGCGUGGGGAGCAAACAGGAUUAGAUACCCUGGUAGUCCACGCUGUAAACGAUGUGCGCUAGACGUUGGAAGGCCUAGCCUUCCGGUGUCGCAGCUAACGCUUUAAGCGCACCGCCUGGGGAGUACGGCCGCAAGGUUAA
rnacentral:rRNA from 1 species